GUGGAUUAAAUGGCUCACCUCUUGCUUGCCACUCAGCACAUGAAGUCACUUUUUUACUUCCUAAGUGUCAUAUAAUAACUUGUUAGGAUGCAUAACCCAGUGUAGUAUUGCUCUGGUAAAUAUGCCAAAGCAAUUUAUAACCUUGAUACAUCUACUAUGUAGCAAUAGCAAGAAAACAACCUGAUUAAAAAAUGAGCACAGAACCUGGGAAGACAUUUCUUAAAAGGAGACGUAUGAAUGGCCAAUGGGUAUGUGAACACAUACUUGACAUCACUAAUCAUCAGGGAAAUGCAGAUUAAAACCACAAUGAGGUGUCAUCUCAUGGCUGUCAGGAUGGCCACUAUCUAAAAUACAAAAGCACAGAAGUGUUGGUAAAGAGGUAAGGAAAAGAGAACCCUUGUGUGCUGUGGAGUGGAAGGUAAAUUAGUACAGCCAUUAUUGAAAGCAGUCUGGAGUUUCUUCAAAAUUUAAUAUUAGAACUAUCACAUGAUUUAGCAAUCCCACUAUUGGAUAUAUAUCCAAAGGAAAUGAAAUCAGCUCAUCAGAGACACUGCACUCCAUGUUCUCUGCAGCAUUAUUCAUAGAUAGAAAAUCAACUUAUGUUUAUCAAUGAAUAAAUGGAUAAAGAAAAUGUGGUGUAUAUACACACACAGAUCUAUAUACACUAUGGAAUAUUAUUUUAUUUAGGCUUAGGAGUGAAUUCUAAGCUUUCUGUGACUCUAACAAAAUAGCUGAGAUAGUUAACUUAUAAAAAAGAAGGUGUUUAUUUUGGCUCACAGUUUUGGAGCUUCAGUCCAUGAAUGGCAUGCCCACAGCUUUGGCCCUUGGUGUGUGAAAUGGCAAUGUCAGGGAGCAUGUGGUAGAGCAAACUGCUCACUUCAUGGCCAGGAAACUAAAGAGAGAAGAAAGAAGAGAGUAGGGUUCCAUAAUUCCCUUCAAGGGCACAGCCCCAAUGACCUAAGGACCUUCCAUGAGGCCCCAUCUCCUCAAGGUCCCACUGUCUUCCAAUAGGUCACCCUGGUAGCCUUUAACACAUGGACAUUUGGGGGAACAUUCCAGACCCUGACCAUACCCGUGGAUGACCUUGGAGGACAUCAUUCUGGGUGAAAUGAACCAGAUCCAGAACAACUAACACUGCAUGGUCUUACUUGUGUUUGCAAUAUUAAAAUACAAACAAACAAACAAAUAAAAACUCAUAAAAGUAGAGCACAGAAUGGAGACUAUUGGACUAUCAGAGGGAGGGUAAGGGGAGAGUGGAGGAUGCCUGUCAUUUCAUUUAGACAAGAUGGAGACCAUUGUGCAGAAUGGUGACUAUGGUUGAAAAUUAUGUGUUGUAGGUUUCAAAAUUAUUAAGAGUAAGUUUGAAAUAUCCUCCCCACAAAAAUGAUAAGAAGCUGAAGAGAUAGAUUUGUUAAUUAGCUUGGUUUAGCAAUUUCAUGUUUUAAAACAUCAUGUUGUAUGCCAAAAUACAUUCAGUUAUUUUUUUUUCUAUUAGAAAAGAAAGACUCUGUAACACGGUCAGGAGAAAAAGUUUGGAGUGCUGUAUGAUGUGAGGAUCCCAGAGUUAGGAUAAAUAGGGCAUCAGAGCCAUUUUGAAAGUUCUUUUAUUGUGUGCCAAGAUUAGAAGUAUCAGAAACUUAUAGCAUAAUAAAUUAAUACCAUGAACUUUAGAACUGGCUGUGCUGCUCACCAGCUGUGUCAUCUUGGGUAAGCUACUUAAACUUUCAGUUUUUUUUUUUUGAAAACAAUGGCAAUAACAAUAAAAUUUAAC
rnacentral:lncRNA from 1 species